rnacentral:misc_RNA from 1 species
GCAAACUUGGUCAUUUAGAGGAAGUAAAAGUCGUAACAAGGUUUCCGUAGGUGAACCUGCGGAAGGAUCAUUAACGUACCUCUGACGGCGAGGUCGCGCCCCGCUCCGGCCCCCAGCGGCCGUGCAGCGGGUGCGUCCGAGCCGCUCAACCUUUGCAAACCCACCGUGCACCUUUGUCGGCGGAGGGCCCCAGCGCCCCGAGCCGGAUCACAAACCACAAGUUCAAAAGAAUGACCAGCGGACAGAGCGCCGCCUAAAACUAAUAAACAACUUUCAACAACGGAUCUCUUGGCUCUCGCAUCGAUGAAGAACGCAGC